rnacentral:rRNA from 1 species
GUGGGGAAUAUUGGGCAAUGGGGGAAACCCUGACCCAGCGACGCCGCGUGAGGGAAGACGGCCUUCGGGUUGUAAACCUCUGUUGUGUGGGAAGAAGAGCGUGACGGUACCACACGAGGAAGUCCCGGCUAACUACGUGCCAGCAGCCGCGGUAAUACGUAGGGGACGAGCGUUGUCCGGAUUUACUGGGCGUAAAGGGCGCGUAGGCGGUCAUUUAAGUCAGCUGUGAAAUGGUUUGGCUUAACCGGAUCAUGCGGUUGAAACUGGAUGACUGGAGUGCUGGAGAGGCAAGUGGAAUUCCCAGUGUAGCGGUGAAAUGCGUAGAUAUUGGGAAGAACACCGGUGGCGAAGGCGACUUGCUGGCCAGCAACUGACGCUGAGGCGCGAAAGCCAGGGGAGCAAACGGGAUUAGAAACCCGUGUAGUCC